CCCUGUUCCUUUCCUCACCUCUCCCCUGUUCACCAACCCCAUGCAUCCCCUCACCUCUUAACGUUACUUCCUUCUCCUCCCCUCCCCAUUAUAUUCCACAAGGGCUGUGCUUGAAAGUCAUUUAUGUAUAAUAUUUAUCAAACCUGUAAUGUAAUAUGUGUUUAACAUGAUUGAAUAUAUAUAUAUAUAUAUUUUAAAUAUUUCAGUGACCAUGCAAUGUUAAAAAAGUCAAAUGCCAGGCAUUGUGUAAACUGAGAAAAUUUAAUUUGAUAUAAACUGAUAAUAAAUGUUACAAUCCUGACCGCCAUCCUGUCUUUUACAAUAUUGGAGUCAGAAAGAUAUAUUCUAAUUCAACUUCUAUGGUUGGAUUUUUUAAAAUAAUUUUUUGUGAGUGUGUGUGUCUCUCUACUUUUUACUCCAAACCCUUCAGUUUAAGGCCCAACCUGUCCAGUCUUACUUUACCGACUCUAACAACCCUAAUCUCUGGACAUAUGCACAUAACAUAAACAGCAGUAGCAUCUGGCGACAGAGUGGGAUGCAAAAACUAUACACAUUUUUUGACACUGAUCAUUUGGACAAAUCACAAUUUCACAGGUGCUCGCAUCUUGGGACAUUUGGCCCAUAGACUUACGCAAAACUCACUGUCAGUUUCCAUUUAGAGUUGGGGAGACAUUGAACUAACACGUUUCCUUCCAAAAUUUAAACAAGCAUCUGAUGCAAUUAAUUACACAAUAUUGGAUUUCUGGGUGUCCGAGAUUAAACAAGCUCCAAAAGUAUCUGUACACCAGAGCUAAAUGAUAGCGUUAGAGGCAGGCGGACGAGCAAUAUCCACCAAUCACCAUCGUAGUACAAGCCUGAUAUGGAAUGUGAAGCUAACUGAAGUUGGCUAGCUUCAUAAAAGCCAGGGGAGGUUAGCAUUUUAUAUCAUACCCCCAAGACAUGCCAACAUCUCACCAUUAUAAUAACAGGGGAGGUUAGCAUUUUAUAUCAUACCCCCAAGACAUGCCAACCUCUCACCAUUACAAUAACAGGGGAGGUUAGCAUUUUAUAUCAUACCCCCAAGACAUGCUGACCUCUCACCAUUACAAUAACAGGGGAGGUUAGCAUUUUAUAUCAUACCCCCAAGACAUGCCAACCUCUCACCAUUACAAUAACAGGGGAGGUUAGCAUUUUAUAUCAUACCCCCAAGACAUGCCAACAUCUCACCAUUAUAAUAACAGGGGAGGUUAGCAUUUUAUAUCAUACCCCCAAGACAUGCCAACCUCUCACCAUUACAAUAACAGGGGAGGUUAGCAUUUUAUAUCAUAACCCCAAGACCUGCCAACAUUUCACCAUUAUAAUAACAGGGGAGGUAUGAUAUUUAUGCCACAUUUUUUGCAGUUUUACUAGUGCUUUAUUGCAAACAGGAUGCAUGUUUUUGAAAAUUUGUAAUCUGUGAAGGCUUCCUUCUUUUCACUCUUGUCAUUUAGGUUGGUAUUGUGGAGUAACUACAAUGUUGUUGAUCCAUCCUCAGUUUUCUCCUAUCACAGCCAUUAAACCUUUAUAAAGUCA